AUGACCAUGUUUACUAUAGUAUUGAUACUAUUUUCACUUCUUAAGGACAUUGCUAAUGCAUAUACAAUAGAAUCUCUCUCAGCUGAAAAGCAUGUUUCAGAGGGAGAAAAUGCUGUGAUUUCUUGUAAAUACAGUGGUGUUGGACCAAGCUUCCAGUGGUACCGUCAAUAUCCAGGAUCCAGACCAGUGUACCUUAUUUUUAACACAGAGACUGGUGUUGGAUCUGAACCCACUUUACGUCUCACGUCGAUGGCCAAAAAAGCACUCACUCAAGUGGAUCUGGAGAUCUUCUCUACUAAAGCGACAGACUCUGCUGUGUAUUACUGUGCCCUGCAGCCCACAGUGACUGGAAACAGACCUGCUCCUUACAAAAACUGUGCUUAA